UACGUAGGGUGCGAGCGUUGUCCGGAAUUAUUGGGCGUAAAGGGCUCGUAGGCGGUUUGUCGCGUCGGGAGUGAAAUCCACUGGCUUAACUGGUGGCUUGCUUUCGAUACGGGCAGACUGGAGGCAUGCAGGGGGAGAACGGAAUUCCUGGUGUAGCGGUGGAAUGCGCAGAUAUCAGGAGGAACACCGGUGGCGAAGGCGGGUCUCUGGGCCGAUACUGACGCUGAGAAGCGAAAGCGUGGGGAGCGAACAGG
rnacentral:rRNA from 1 species